rnacentral:rRNA from 1 species
UACGAAGGGGGCUAGCGUUGUUCGGAAUUACUGGGCGUAAAGCGCGUGUAGGCGGGUCUUUAAGUCAGGGGUGAAAUGCCAAGGCUCAACCUUGGAACUGCCUUUGAUACUGGAGAUCUUGAGUCCGGGAGAGGUGAGUGGAACUGCGAGUGUAGAGGUGAAAUUCGUAGAUAUUCGCAAGAACACCAGUGGCGAAGGCGGCUCACUGGCCCGAUACUGACGCUGAGGCACGAAAGCGUGGGGAGCAAACAGG